rnacentral:rRNA from 1 species
AUUGAACGCUGGCGGCAUGCCUUACACAUGCAAGUCGAACGGUAACGGGCCUUCGGGUGCCGACGAGUGGCGAACGGGUGAGUAAUACAUCGGAACGUGCCCGAUCGUGGGGGAUAACGAGGCGAAAGCUUUGCUAAUACCGCAUACGAUCUACGGAUGAAAGCAGGGGACCGCAAGGCCUUGCGCGGGCGGAGCGGCCGAUGGCAGAGUAGGUAGUUGGUGGGAUAAAAGCUUACCAAGCCGACGAUCUGUAGCUGGUCUGAGAGGAUGAUCAGCCACACUGGGACUGAGACACGGCCCAGACUCCUACGGGAGGCAGCAGUGGGGAAUUUUGGACAAUGGGCGCAAGCCUGAUCCAGCCAUGCCGCGUGCAGGAUGAAGGCCUUCGGGUUGUAAACUGCUUUUGUACGGAACGAAAAGCCUUCUUUUAAUACAGGAGGGUCAUGACGGUACCGUAAGAAUAAGCACCGGCUAACUACGUG